UCUGUCUCAAAAAAAAAAAAAAAAAUUUAGUAAACCAUGCUAUAAACAGAUGUGCUGUCAUCCAGGAUUUGUUGUUCCAUUUACAGAGCACAGGCAGAGUAGAUUUAGCAUAAUUCUUAAGGGCCCUAGGAUUUUUGGAAUGGCAAAUGAUCUUUGGCUUCAACUUAAAGUCACCAGCUGCAUUAGCCCCUAACAAGAGAUUCAGCCUGUCAUUUGAAGCUUUGAAGCCAAGCAUUGACUUCUGCUCUCUCAUGAUCGGAGGUUUGAGGAGGGGAGGGCAGAAUGGCCUGUCAGUGGAUCAGACAGAACACAUACAACAUUUAUCGAUUAAGCUCACUGUUUUAUAUGGGCACAGUUCAUAGUACCCCAAAAUAAUUACAAUAGUAUUAUCAAAGAUCACUGAUUACAGAUCACCAUAACAGAUAGAAUAAUAAUCCAAAAGUUUGAAAUAGUACAAGUAUUACCAAAAUGUGACCCAGAGACAUGAACUGAGCACACACUUUUGGAAAAAUGCCACCAAUAGACUUGCUCAAUGAAGGGUUGCCACAAACCUUCAAUUUGUUAAAAAUGCAUUAUCUGUGAGGCACAAUAAAACAAAGUGUAAUAAAAUGAGGUCACCUGUGUAUCUUUUUUAUUUUUAUUAGCUGUAACUAGAAGUUAACAUUUUUCCUUCUUUCUUUCUUUUUCUUUCCUUCCUUCCUUCUUUCUCUUUCUUUCUUUACUUUUCUUU
rnacentral:lncRNA from 1 species